rnacentral:rRNA from 1 species
CGUAGAGUUUGGUAUACCUGGCUCAGGAUAAACGACUGGCGGCGUACAUAAGACAUGCAAGUCGAACGGACAGAAGUUAGGAAGUUUUUAACAUUCAAUGGAAACCGUAGGCGGACGGGUGAGUAACACGUAAAUAACCUGCUACAAGAGGGGGAGUAACAGAGAGAAAUUUCUGAUAAUACCGCAUAAGCUAGAAAUACCGCAUGGUAUAGCUAGAAAAGAUUUAUCGCUUGUAGAUGGAUUUGCGUCUGAUUAGCUAGUUGGUGAGAUAAUAGCCCACCAAGGCGACGAUCAGUAGCCGGAUUGAGAGGUUGAACGGCCACAUUGGGACUGAGACACGGCCCAGACUCCUACGGGAGGCAGCAGUCGGGAAUAUUGCACAAUGGAGGAAACUCUGAUGCAGUGACGCCGCGUAUAGGAAGAAGGUCUUAGGAUUGUAAGCUAUUGUCGUGCAAGAAGAAAAUGACUAUUGCAGGAGGAAGCCCUGGCUAAAUAUGUG